GGACUGCGUCGUCGCGUUGAUCUUUGACUAGAUGGAAAGUUUAACCACACCGCAUAAAUAAAUCUCCACACAAAUUAAUUGAUUCACAAGGCAUCACGUAUUUCACUAAAUAAUCAAGAAGUAAACGAUGUUUCUCCGGUUGGAACUUUUGUCGAACAAAAGUCACGCAUCAAAAAGAAAAGAAAACUAAAACUAUCUCUAAAACAAUGACUAACUCUCUUGUGGUCCCUGCCGAAUUGAGCGAAAAGGUACAAAAAGUCAAGCUCUGCCGCCUUCCCCUUUUUCCAUUUCCUAUUGCUAAUCAGACUCCCUCGUACAAGUCAUCUCCUCUUAAUAGGAAGACUCUUAGUCAGCAACUCUUCAUCAGCAAAAGGAAAAUGAAGUCCGUUUCUUCUCUUCAUGUGGGCCAGGUUUGUAUUUGCUUUUAGAAACUCCCCACAUGUGGAGUCUUUGCCUCAAGAAGAUCUCCCUUUUUAAUACUUUUCUGUCCCACUUUCUGAAAUUAUAUCCAAAUAUCAAAUAUAAGUAUAUCUUAAUAAUUAAAAUAAUAUUUAACAGGAACAAAAGAGAAAUUAAUAAUAAAAUUACUAAUAAUUAACACCCUAACAUGAAUCACAAAAGAAUCAAGAUCAUAUAAGUUUUAUAUCUCAAGAUAUGGCAAUGUUAGUUAGGACUGCCUAACCUGGGUAUUAUGUGACACUGUAAUCUUUUAGUACAUUUUAUAUCCUUUAGGAUAGCAAUCUGAAAACAUUUCCUUUACAAGAGCUUUGGACCAUUUAAUGACGGUUCAAUUCCACAAUUGAUUGAAUCAUUCCAUAUCAUAGCUGAAAUAGAACUUUUUUAACCAGUCAGUCCUACAAACUCAGAAUCAUGUGCCAUUUCUUAUGUACAAAACAGUGUCAUAGAGCCUUAAAUCCACAUAAACAUUUUAGUCUAGUUCUUAAGUACUGAACCCAGUAAACUUUUAGAGUUGGCAAGAAAUCAAACCUGGAAAGAAGCAUUGAAGGAGAUGUUAGUUCGUUGUCAAUUUGGAGUAGAUUAUAAUCUUAGGCAUAAGAUGUAAUAUAACUAUUAGAACUGACUCUGUAGUUCAAUUUUUUGCCGACACAUACUAGCAUAAAACCUAAAUGGGCGAACAAAAAAUGAAAAUAGUGCAGUGAAAAAAGAUGUUAUUAAUAGUUUAGUGCCCAUUUAGAAAUAUGCUCCUUUUUCUGUUUUAUUCCAUUUAUUUGUUAACCUUAGGUUGUGGCUGGGGAGAGGAGGUGUGUAGAAAACACCACAACUAAUUCCAGCUGCUGGACCUAUAAAAUGUUAAAUGGCAUUAUGGAUGAAUUAUGUUCAAUUGCCAACUCCAACUUGGUAAUUCGGUGUGGAAAGAGUCGCAACAACAGCUCAAGCUUCCACUUUGACCAACACACUUAACCCCACAUUAUGUUUAAAGAUCCCAAUUAAUGAAGUUCUGAAAUAAAUUAUAUAUAUAUAUAUAUAUAAUCCUCCAACGCAGCUAAUUGGGAAAUUUAGAGUUUAAAAUAUUGGGGCCGUUAUAUUUGUCACCGUAAAUUAACCUAUUUCUUUUGUUUCCUUUGACUUUUUUUAUCAUGCGCAUUACAUCUAAUGAUUUUGUUUGUGUUUUUUCUUUUCAUAUUUCUAAUUUUGAUUUACUGCCUCUCCCUUUUACACUUAAGAUUUUAUUCUGAUGGCUUUUCUUUGACUUUGUAUGCAAUGUAAGUAAUUUUAUUUGAUCUGGUUUUGCAUUAAACUAACCUUACGUUUAGUGCACUAGAAUGGCGAGAAUGAAAGGUCUUAUUAUCGAAAGAAUGAUGUGAAUUUUUUUUUUAAUCGUUCCACUUUGUGGUAUGCAGGUUAGAAUAAAAUGUAUCCAUUUUUAUUGUUUAGCAUAAUCAAUUUUUAGAUGUCAAAACGAAAUAAUUCUAUGCAAAUUUGAUUUAAUUAAUCGAAAACAAAGCUUAGGACUUACAGGAUUGUUCUCAAGUGAUUCUAAUUUUGUAAAAGCUGAUUUUGUGAAAUUGAUUUUUAACAGAUUUUGUAGAAUAACUCCUGUGUUCUAGUUUAUAGUUAAUAAAGCUACUUUGAUAAACACUUGAGUGUUCUUGAAAAUGUUGAAAAGCUAAUCUCGACAAAAAGAUAACCAAAUUGCCAUUAUGUGAGACAUAAAUAACUUUUGCACGACUGACAUGGAGUUUUAAUGUAAUUAAUUAAUUUUCUUAUGAAGAUUAAAUGUUGAAUAAGAAGAAGAAGGGGAAAAGAGAUGAAUCUAGAGGUGGAAUAACGAGUAAGAAGAAAUGGAGAGAGAUGUGUGGCCAAAAUAUUUACUUAAUCUUUUUGUAGUUUAGUAAUUAUGUUAAAGUUUAAAGGAUAUUUUUUUUUUUUUUGCAUGUAGAAAAAGUAGGCUAUAAUCUGAAUCUUAAAGCAAUUAAGAAUUAAGACAUGCUUUUUAACUUUUGGGGCCCAAAACAUCUAAAAUCAGGUUUCAAAAUCAGUUUUCAUAAAUCCAAAAUUAAAAUCAGAUUUAAAAGAUCAAUUGAGAACGCCCUUCAUGUUUUUUAUGUUGUUUUAAUUAUUUGUGCUAUGUUAUUUUUGUUAAAUUGCAAAGUUAUUUCGUUAGAUAACAUAAUCGCGUACGAGAAUACAUGUUAAGCUAAAUGAUGAGUUAACUAAUCAAUUAGUUCAACUAGUGGUGACAUUUUUCUUGGUGUGAAACUUAAGGAUAGCCACUCACUUCCCAAAUCAAUAAAUGAUCCAAAGUUAUUCAUAAACACAAUACACAAGUAAUUUUUUUUAAAAAAAAAUAAUACACAAUAAUCCGACCAAAUUAUAGAUGAAAAUCAACAAUUAGGUUUUAUUGUACACGUUGAAUGUUUCUAAAGAACAUUAACAAAUUUCAAUUAUCAGCUAAAGUUUUGUAAAUACUAAAAACAAAUUCUUACUAUAUUUUAGUAGUUUCGAAUCACAAUGAUAAUCAAAUAAAUAACAACUUUAAAGAUCACCAUUCAUUCCUUCAACUUGCUAAUCUCGAAUUUGAAUUGAAACUUAUUUAUCACAUUAUCACUUGACAAAAACACGACCCCCAUAAUUUUUCCAUUUGACAAAUGCCAGAUUUACCUAGUGCUAAUAAAUUGAUUAACAAGGAUAAAAAAAAAAAGAGCAUACUACUCAUUGGACUUGCAAAUAGCUAAUUAUACUAUUUUAGUAGUAUGUUAUAACAACAUUGCAAAGAGUCUUCUAAAAGAACAUGCAGCAAAUUAACAAAAGUUAAAUAAAUCUUUAGUAAAUCACCCAGAUGAACUAUUCUUCUGGCUCUUCUAUAUAUGAUAACCAAAUGAAUCUUCGAUUAGCUCUUCCGGAAUAAAUUGAGAAAUUCUAUGUAAGAAUCAUAGUAUUUCGUAAUUCAUUGGUAAAAUCCUUUUGAUUCUUUACCAACCAAUAAUGUAGGAUCAUUGACAUGGUUAAAGCAAAGUGUUUGAUGUUUAGAUGCAACAUAUGAUAUAUAGUCUUUCUACUGCUAUGUAAAUAUAAAGAUAGUUUAAAAUAAAUAUUUUAUCAAUAGAGGACACUUCUAUCAUAUAAAAUGCUUAUUGUAAAAAUGAGUCAUCACACACCGGUCAUGAGUUUGGGGGAAUCUCAACUAGAGUAAAUAGUCUACCAUAUAGGAAUAUAAUUCUGACAAAAAAAGGUUAAUUAUUUAUUACUCCCCUAUGGUUUUACAAAAUGCUAGAUGACCUCCUAGAUUUUUAAAAUAAUCAUACAACCCCCUAUGAUUUUAUGUAAGGUGAAAAAUGGAUGAAAUGCACAAUUAGUUAUGGUUUUUAUACCUUUGACAAAAAAAAAAUUAUGGUUUUUAUACCAAGUGCACUUUAAAAGUGUGUGUGGUAAAAUGUUAAUUUUAAUGUAAACUCUUUAUAAUUUGUAUAAAUAUUUACUUUAUGCUCCUGUGAUUUUUGCAUUUAUCCACUUAAUCUCCAUGUACAUUUUGUAUAAAAGACCCUAAUUUGUAUAAACAUCCACUUUAUAACAAGCCCACUAGGCACCCACGCUUUGUAGAAGCCGAUCCAUAUAUUAUUGACACAUAAUAAUAUUUAAAAAUGCAUAAAAUCACAUGCCUAGGGUAAACCGGUUUCUAGGGGUGUGCAUCAAAAUCGAAUUUGGUAAUUCGAAACUUUGAAUUCAAAAUUUUUCGAAAUUUGGACAUUAGGAAAUUCAACCAAUUUUGAUGUCACAAAUCCCGAAUUUGAAUUCGUACUGAAUUGCAUUCGAAAUUUGGUAAUAAGCGCUUUCACCGAAUUCUAGAACCUUUUUUUUGUAUUAUAUUUAUAUAUAAGUUUUUCUAACUCAAUGCUAAACUAAACCUUUUUAUAAUUAUAACAUAAUAGACAACUAACUUAAUAAGACUUAUUAUUGUAUUGUUAUAUAAUAUAAUUAUUAGUUAAAUGUAUUAUUAUAUAAUAUAAAUUUUAUAUUACAUAAUAUAUAUAUAUAUAUAUAUAUAUAUAUAUAUAUAUAUAUAUAUAUAUAACAUACAAAUUUGAAAUUGAAUUAGGUAUUUGAUUUCCGAUUUGUGAAAACCCAUUCCUGAAUUCACCAAAUUAAUAUAUUUCAAAAAUGGAAAACCUGAUUUCCAUUUCGAUUUUCGAUUUACUGAUUUGAAAAUUCCAAUUUCAAUUCAAAUUGGGUCUAUAAAUUGUUUUUAUUUUAUUUUAUUUUGCACCCUCCUACUGCCUUCACUUCUAUUUAUACCUCAUACGCGAAUGAACAAUUUGAUCUAAGUCCUCUAACAAUCCAGAAUACAAUCCAAAUUGAAAUUAGAGUUACCUGCAAUGGCUUCUGGCAGCGAAGAUCGGUGCAUCGUCGAGCUUCCGUACGCGGAAUCGAUGGAGUGUAGCGAGAAAGAGAGGAUCGGCAGCUUCAGCAGCCGCAGCCUCAGCCACAGCGGCAGCGACGAUGAGGGCUGUUUGGAUCAUCCUCAGAAG
rnacentral:lncRNA from 1 species